rnacentral:lncRNA from 1 species
ACAACAAAAAUGUAAGAGGGAAACCAUCUCAGAAUAAUGGAUUUUUCUUCCCAAGAAAGGGCAGGUGGCAAUGUUUAGUGAAUGGACACAGUGAAGAGGAGGGGUUACUAUGGAACUUCUCAGAUGUAAGAAAUUUUUUAUCUUUUUAUUUUUAAAUUUUUAUUUGAGACAGGGUCUUGCUCUGUCACCCAGGCUGGAGUGCAGUGGUGCAAUCAUAGCUCACUACAGCCUUGACUUCCUGGGCUCAAGCGUUCCUCCCAUCUCAGCCUCUCAAGUAGCUAGAGCUGUAGGUGCAAACCACAAUGCCUGGCUAAUUUUUUAUUUUUUAUUUUUUUUGUCAAGACGGGUCUCACUAUGUUGCUCAGGAUGGUCUCAAACUCCUAAGCUCAAGCGAUCCUCCUUCCUCGACCUCCCAAAAUGCUGGGAUUACAGGCAUGAGCCACCGUGCCUAGCCUGAAAAAUUUUGAUAUAGAUUUUAUAAUGAUUUUUACGAUACCACACUGUGAACAGUUGUUUUCUUGAUAGAGAUUUUUCAAUUUGGGCUCUUCGGACAGUGAUAUUUGAAAUAAAGAUUGGAUUAUGGAUUGUCCUGGUACUUUGAUUUUUUAAAUAAGAACUAUUAACAAAACAAAUUACACAUAGCUAUAGACAAAAAAGGACAACAGUUAACAUUAGUUUUCUCAGAUUGUUAUACUCAGCAUAGUAUAGGCUGCUUGUAGCUCUUAAUCGUUUUCUAAAUAAGAUAAUGUGCUUAUUUACUUUUUUUCUGUGAACUCUGCAGAGAAGUACAUUUACUGUUUUUAAUGCUUGUCUCCUGGUCUCGUGCUUUGCAUGCUCAAGAUGUGACAUGCACGCUCUGUGCUUUGGUCCUUCUGUCUGCUCAGUGCGGCCGCUUGCUGCACUCCUUUCCUCUCUGUCUUUGGUGUCUCAGUUCAUCUGCAUUUCAUCUUAGUGUGUAUAUUUGGCUUCUCUACUCAUGCUUCAUCAGCAUUUUUUGCUUAGUUUCUCAGAAUUCCUAAACAUCUAUUUUUACACUUAAAACGUUUACUUGUUUGACUGAAUAAAGAAACAUUAAAAAAGUCCUGCCUGGCUUUAACUCAUUGGUUAGCCUUUUGUAGGUGUGUGAAUGGCAGUAACUUAGUUAGUAAUGUGCCUCAGUUCCCUGUAGAAGAGGGUUGUUUUGAAGAUCAAAUGACUUUAUAAGCAUAAAACAUUUAGAACAUAGUAUGAAGAUAGCUACUGUUAAGUAACUGUCAGAAAGUGAUUGUCAGUUGUUAGAAACACUUUUAUGGAUGGCAAUAUUGCCCCAAUGGGUGAUAUAGUUAGUAACAUGUGCUUAUUCCCCAGAAGAAUAAAUAAACACAUACUGAGAGGUACAUUCUUUUCUUAGGAAGAACAAUGCCACUGAUGCCUUUGCCUGUCUAAGUCACAGGGGUGGUUUCCACAUGGUCACACAUGGUGCUUCCUUACUAGCUGCUGGAGCCUGCACACAAAAUCCAUACCCUCUUGAACCUUAUUUGUAGAGAGAACAAUUUGGACUAUUCUGGGUGGUUCAAGAGGUGCCAAGCACAGGCCAAACACUUUCCAACCUGGUGGGUGGUAGCAGAUGAGGCUCCGGGUGUCUGGGCUGCAGAAGGGGCUGUGCCAUCCCUGCCAGGGGCACCUUCCACUGGGAUCCCAAGGUCCUGCAUGGUCAGUCUAACACUGUGUAGUCAAGAAGUCAGACUAGUCUACAUGACGGGGGUUCCUAGGAGCUUUGGAUUACCCAUGGGCUGUACAAUUACUGUUUGUGCAUUGUUUGAAUGAUAUUAAAAGAAUGAUUUAAUCUUUAUAAGAAGAGCCCUGUUUGAAUCUUUAUUUGGGAGAUGUUUCUCAUGACUGAAUGCUUAAAUACAGAAAAUUCAGUUUCAGAAUGUGGCUAGCUUCAUUUCCUAUAAUAAGAUUAAAAUAGCAUUUUCUUUCUUAUUUUUUUUCUCACCUAUACUGGCCAUGCAAACAUUUUAUUUCUUAAUUCAUAUGGAUUAGAUUUUUUUUAACCCUGGAUGGAAGAAAACACAGAUUAAGAUGCAUUGUGAAUAUGACAGUUUUAGUAGUUAGAAGUGCUUCGGUUGACGUCUUGGUCUUGCUCAGUACUUAUUUUAAGACAUUGGGAAAGAAUCAUUUUACGACAUUUUGUUCUUUUCCGCAUCUUUAUUGUAGAUAAUAUCCAUGGGAGUUAAAUUAUAAAAUGAUCAAAACAAAACCGAGUGUAGAACACCCAUGUAAUAUGGUAAUGUAUUUAGCUGUUGUGGAGCAAAAAUGCUAGCUGCAUCUCCAUUUUUGCAGUGUUUAAUUGUGAAUUUACUCCUCCCAAAGUGAAAGUUACCUCAACUUUUCAAAUUCUGCUGCUACUAAUCAUAUUAUCUGAGACCAUGAUUAAAAUUAAUACAUCAUAUGGCAGUGCCUAUUUUUUAGGACCGAGAACAGUAAGUUGGGUAUUUAGGCACACAUUUUGUGUCAGACACAUCAUUUUACUUAGUAAUACACUUUUAAAAUAAAAGAGAAAGUUUCCCUUCCUCUUGUUCCCCCCCUUUAUAUGUCAGUAAAAGGGGGCAAUUAUUUUGGCCACUUUUGCCAGGAGAAGCCAGAACAUUUCGUGAAGCAGGUAGAAAGGAAAGCAGAAUGGGAUGGAUAGGGGUAGGACAGAUGGGCAGCUGACCUGCUGCUGUGUGAUGGGAGAAAUGAGGCUGUGAGUUCAUGGAUAAUGAUCAUUUGCCCAUAUUGAAGGUGGUCCUGGAUGUAAUAGUCUCAUAUAUAUAUAUAAAUAAAAUAUUUUGAGACAGGGUCUCACUUUGCUCACUUUGUUGCCCAGGCUCAUGUGCAGUGGUGCCAUUAUGGCUCAAUGCAGCCUAACUUCCUGGCCUCAAGUGAUCCUCCUGCCUCUAAAAGUGUUGGGAUUACAGGCGUGAGCCACUGCACUCAGCCUCAUAAUAUUUUAUGAAGUAACGGAACAAGAUAUUGGGGAAAGACAUCUACAUGUAUGUCAAGGUAUUGAGAAUCAUUAAAUUUCUAAAGAAAGAUCUAUAUUCUUUUGUGUAUUGAAGGGAGGAUAAAUUUAUUUUCAUGAGAUUACAUUUGCAAACUGCAAGCAAAUGAUCUUUUCCCUCUAUCUCAUAUAGUCCCAUGGAUGUGUGC